UUUAAUUCGGUUUUCAAACCUACCCUUAGUUCUUUUUGUUUUCCAUUAGAAGUUUAGUAUUUAUAAUUAAGUUAAAUGCAAGGUUGGAGGACUGAUCAAUUCUUAAGGAACAUGGAGAGCAACAUAUCGGAACUUCCAAAGAUAAAUUGUCAACCCUACUUCAAGCCACUGAAAUUAGUUGCAAAGUUGAAAAUAGGAUAUGGUGGAGUCGAAUUCAGAUGAUUGAAAAAGAGGCGGCGGAAGGGAAGGUAUUGAGAUGAAGAGGGAGCCUUCAUGUUGUAUGAACGCUGUUCGAAGUCAAAGAUUGUGAUGUGGAGGACAAACGCAGCUGCCGUGAAACGUGGAUCUUUAUGCUGAAGGGGUUUGAUUUGAAAUUGCCACUGGCUUUUAGGAUGAAGAGAAUUCCAUUGGAUGUGGAAAGAGAUUUUAUUUUUGUUUUUCCCUUCUUCAGUUUUAUUCAAGGGUGAAA